AUUGAACGCUAGCGGGAUGCUUUACACAUGCAAGUCGAACGAGUGGCGGACGGGUGGGUAAUAUAUCGGAACGUGCCCAAUAGAGGGGGCUAAGUGCUAGAACGAGUGGCUACUACCGCAUACGAUGGGAGCGGCCGAUAUCGGAUUAGCUAGUUGGUGGGGUAAAGGCUCACCAAGGCAACGAUCCGUAGCUGGUUUGAGAGGACGACCAGCCACACUGGGACUGAGACACGGCCCAGACUCCUACGGGAGGCAGCAGUGGGGAAUUUUGGGCAAUGGGGGAAACCCUGACCCAGCCAUGCCGCGUGUAUGAGAAGGCCUUCGGGUUGUAAAGUACUGUUGGCAGAGAAGCGGUAUCUGCAGAAUAAGCCCCGGCUAACUACGUGCCAGCAGCCGCGGUAAUAC
rnacentral:rRNA from 1 species